rnacentral:misc_RNA from 1 species
GUAGGUGAACCUGCGGAAGGAUCAUUAACACGAAUUUUAUCCAAUAUCAAACCAAACGUGAACUUUUCCCCUCCCUAUGCAGCACUCUCUCAGUAAAAUGUAAGAGUCUGUCUAGGCUAACCUUUUUCACUAAUAAUUUAACAACACUUGCUGUUGUUAGUUAUUUUUCAAACCCCUAAAACACUUUAACUUAGUUCCACUUUUUCUUCUUUUAGGAAAAGAACACGAACUACUAAACUAAAAAUCAAUUUCUCCAUUAAUUUUUGGGAAAUUAUUUUUUCGAUAUUACGAAAAAUUAAAGAACAACUCUUAACAAUGGAUAUCUUGGUUCUC